rnacentral:rRNA from 1 species
CCCGCGUCUGAUUAGCUAGUUGGUGAGGUAAAGGCUCACCAAGGCGACGAUCAGUAGCUGGUCUGAGAGGAUGAUCAGCCACAUUGGGACUGAGACACGGCCCAAACUCCUACGGGAGGCAGCAGUGGGGAAUCUUGCGCAAUGGGCGAAAGCCUGACGCAGCCAUGCCGCGUGAAUGAUGAAGGUCUUAGGAUUGUAAAAUUCUUUCACCGGGGACGAUAAUGACGGUACCCGGAGAAGAAGCCCCGGCUAACUUCGUGCCAGCAGCCGCGGUAAUACGAAGGGGGCUAGCGUUGCUCGGAAUUACUGGGCGUAAAGGGAGCGUAGGCGGACAUUUAAGUCAGGGGUGAAAUCCCGGGGCUCAACCUCGGAAUUGCCUUUGAUACUGGGUGUCUUGAGUGUGAGAGAGGUAUGUGGAACUCCGAGUGUAGAGGUGAAAUUCGUAGAUAUUCGGAAGAACACCAGUGGCGAAGGCGACAUACUGGCUCAUUACUGACGCUGAGGCUCGAAAGCGUGGGGAGCAAACAGGAUUAGAUACCCUGGUAGUCCACGCCGUAAACGAUGAUUGCUAGUUGUCGGGAUGCAUGCAUUUCGGUGACGCAGCUAA